CCUGAAAUGUACGAGCUCAUGCUGAAGCCAGAAUAAACUCGGAUUUAAUUACAGCAGCACCCCCUACGGAGCUGCUUGGGGGUGUUCUAUUACAGGAGCUGCCACAGUGAAAGGUUGCUGCGGGUCGGAGCUGCUAAAGGCAUAAUGAAGGAUUGAUUGGAAGCUGAGUGAGGACAGCAGAACUAAGACCUUCACUUCUCACAGGUUUGGAACUGAACAGCUCACUGAAGCAUGGAUCCGGAUGGCCUGGAGAUCAGUACCUUGGUCUCCGUUCCAACUAUGUUUAGGAUUUGACGACUACAAUAUCAAGUGAACCCAGAGUUAAUAGAAUCCUUAUAUCUUAACUAAAACCAACAGGAAAAUGAUUCUUUUUGUUCAUGUUUCAUUCUUGGAAUGUAAGUGACAUUUGUUCCACAUUCCUAACUCCCCUUGAGAAGGUGACAAUGAAUCACCUUCUGAACUUCUGCAGUCUGUGCGGCGUAGGGUACACCCAAAGUGUUGUUAGGAAGGAUUUUGACCCAGUGACAGUGAAGGAAUGGCAGUAUAGUUCCAAGGUGGGUUGGCAUGAUGCUUAGAGGGGUAAUUGCAUGUGGCAGCUCUCCCAUGAGUAAGGUCCACCAACUUUCUCCAAUUGCAUGGGUUGCCCCUGAAAUCUGACAGAUCCAAUUAUCCAUUGCUCCGGCCUUCAUAGACCUGCCCAGCUACUGAAAAUCUGCGGAUGUGACGAUUCUUGGCAUCGGGAAGUCCCACUCCCUCCUAGUUGGAGGGAAAUGUUUGGACUGUGCCGAAGCUCUUCCCUUGCGGAGCUUUAUGCAAAGUUGGAAUCCAAGGCAUAUCUGGUCCUUGGGUAUGAAUCUUCAGUCAUUAUAGAGGGAGUGUGAUAGUAGAGUGGUUGCUUUUAAGAUUACUUAAUACGGUAGUAAAAGUUUGAAGGUGUCCUUUUAAUAUGAACCAUUAAACCACAGCCUAGAUUCUAAAGCUAGACAUAAUGAUUUUGUAAGACUUUCUGAAGAGGAGGAGGGAGAUUGUCCCGGAGUCUUGGCCAACAUUUAUACCUCCGUCAAAACCAAAAAUACAGCAACUGCCAGUAAUUUCAUUGC